rnacentral:rRNA from 1 species
UACAGAGGUCUCAAGCGUUGUUCGGAUUCAUUGGGCGUAAAGAGCUCGUAGGUGGUUCGGUAAGUCGGAUGUGAAAUCUCCAGGCUCAACCUGGAGGGGUCAUUCGAUACUGCCGUGACUAGAGUUCGGUAGAGGAGUGUGGAAUUCCUGGUGGAGCGGUGAAAUGCGCAGAGAUCAGGAGGAACACCCGUAGCGAAGGCGGCACUCUGGGCCGAUACUGACACUGAGGAGCGAAAGCGUGGGGAGCGAACAGG